UGAUGUCUUUUCAUCAGGAAUGAAAAAAUCAACACAACUAUAUAAUCCAGAGAGGAAAAGAUAUUUGUGGUGGGAGACAAUCUUUCUGGAAACACUCUAGUUACUGUAGCCUUGCUCUCUAUUGAAGCACAUUGAAUCUCUGAACACUCAGAAGACAAGACACUUGUGGAUGGAGGAGACAGUCUUUCUGAGAAACUUUCACUUACUACAGGCUUACUCUCUGGGGAAGCACAUCUAGCAUCAGAAUACUCUGUGGAUGAGAUACUUAUGCGGGGAGACACACUCUCUGACAACCUUCCAGUUACUACAAGCUCACUCUCUGGGGAAACACAUGUACUCUCAGAACAUCCAGAGGAAAAGACACUUGUGGCAGGAGAAACUCUCUGGGAACAUUUUGGUGUAAGAAAGAGACUGGGAAGGCCUUCUGGGCAAAGAAACCAACCUUU